rnacentral:misc_RNA from 1 species
GGCCCUCCCCUGCAGUGGCGGCUGCUGCCAAGGCCAUGCUGCAGCAGCAGCUCAUGAUGGCCACCAGAGGAGGAGGCUUGCCUCAGAACGACGUCGUUGAUGGGUCGUCCUUCAAGUCUCCUACUCGGGGAGAUGGAUCAGUGCAGGCACUGUAUAAUAAUGGGUUUGGCGCUGGAUCUAUGCAUGGGACUGGGCAGGCAUCUAAUCAGUCUCAGCAACAUUUCCACCAUCCUCAGG